GCCUCGUUAGCUCAGUGGAGAAGAGCGCCGGCCUACGAAGCCGGAGGCCGGAGGUUCGACUCCUUCACGAGGCGCCA
rnacentral:tRNA from 2 species